UAGUUCAAUUUCAGAAAAAAGAUACUUAUUUAUGAAUAGCUGCCACAAAUACUUCAAGGGAAGUCAAAGGUUAGCAGAGAGAUACAAGGUCCAGCCAGGACGUACAUCUGACAUACACAAGGUUUUGCAAGGAGAUAUACCACACAGUUAAGGGCCUACAAAGAUGCAAAGGUUUAAGGCUGUACAAAGUGCAAGUCUACCAAACACAUUCAGCCUAUACAAUCAUUACAGAGGACAGAAAUAUCGAGUGGAACCAGUGUUUUGGCUAUGAGUCAGACAAUGUAUGAUGGUGGGUCACAACAACUUGGUGCUGUCUACAGUCAAAGAGAAGUGACCAGAUGUCUAUGACAUGGGCUGCUGUGCCAUAUUGCCAAUACCUGUGUACAGUAGGGGUUGAAAAAGGCCAGCUUUGCUUUUCACUUCCAUCAUAGUUUCAAGAGCAAGGAGAUACAUGGAGAAUUCCUGUCUUUCACCUAUACUGAGCCUUCAAAGAUUUUCAAACAUUGUUCAGCACGCUGGCUAUCCCUUGAGAAAUGUCCGAGACGGUUUCUUCAGCAGUGCCCUGCCUUGAAGUCUUACUUAAACAGUCAUGGUUCAAAGAUGUGCUGCCAGACUCCCUGAUUCGUUGUUCAGCCUGAGUUACCACUUCAGUACCACCUUUCAGCUCACACAUUUUUCAUGGGGAAAGCAAAAUAUGGAAAAAAAAGUAUUAAAGACUGUCGUAAGUCACAGAACCUGUGGAACGUGCAAGUGGUGGCAUCGAAAUAGGCCAGGUAAAAAAGUACGGAAUCACCGGUGUGUGCACACACACACUGGAAGUGCACGUCAUAUGGAAAGUGUAAGUGGUGAGAAAGGAGUUAAGGAACUGCUGGAAGAGGGUACGCCAAUUGAAUAUUUGGAAGGUGAUGGAGACAAUACCCUUAUUGCUCGUCUGAAAUCAAACUUGAAUUUGACAAUGAAAAAACGAUUUGACAGAAAUCAUGUUGUGAAAAAUAUUGGCAAACGUUUGUACAUGUUACAUGGAGAGAAGGGAGUGAAACUGAGUAAAAAUGUUAUCAUUCACAUUCAGAAAUGUCUGAAGUACGUGUUUGCUAAAAAUCAAGGUGAUGACACUGGAAUGAAAGAAAAUCUCAGAGCAAUUAUACCACAUCAGUUUGGGGAUCACUCAUUGUGUCAGCCAAGGUUUUGUGGAUAUAAGAGAAAGCCAGGGUCAGUGUAUUCACACAGAAGUCUUCCUUAUAAGGUCCCUCUUAAAGAUAACAAUCUACGAUCAAGGCUGGAGAGCAUUUUUCAACCUAUCAUAUCAAAUGCCGAACAGUACUCCGACCUUGGGUCCAGUCAGCAAUGUGAACAUGCAAAUAGGGAAGUUACACUGAGGGUACCAAAGUCGUUACAUUAUGGUGACUCAGAAUCAUUGGACCACCGUGUACAUGCUACAUCUGCCUUCAUUAAUGAAGGCAGGAAUUACAUUGUUCAGUUUACCAGUUCACUACAGUGUUUGUUCCUAUAUACAUUGUUCCUGUUCAACUGCGGUCUUCAGAAUUUGGUGCACACACAAAAGCUGGGUUAUCACCUGGACUUCACACAAUCAGAUAUGCAGAAAAAUGUGCCAAAAGUAGAAAGCGGUCAUCUGAUCUGUCACAGUUACCAUCCACCAAACGUCGGCGCCUUAUCUUGAAACAAGAGCGGGCUACCACUCAGGGUGCUCAUGAAGCUCUAGAAGGAGUGUCUUAUCAAUCAGGUAUUGGUCAUGAACAAGAUAUUGAUAUAGAGAAAAUCCCUGAUGCAGUUCCCAGAGGAGAUUUCAAACCUGUGACCUGUAAUCAACAUGACAAACCAACACUUGUUAUGGUCGACUUGGAAACCACUGAUCUAA
rnacentral:misc_RNA from 1 species